rnacentral:rRNA from 1 species
UAAGGAAUAUUGCUCAAUGGGAGAAAUCCUGAAGCAGCAACGCCGCGUGGAGGAUGAAGGGUCUAUGACUUGUAAACUCCUGUAAAGAAGGAAAAAAUUCCCAUUAGAUGGGAGAUGAUGGUACUUCUGGAGUAAGCCCCGGCUAACUACGUGCCAGCAGCCGCGGUAAUACGUAGGGGGCAAGCGUUGUCCGGAUUUACUGGGUGUAAAGGGUGCGUAGGCGGCAAUGCAAGUCAGAUGUGAAAACUAUGGGCUUAACUCAUAGAUUGCAUUUGAAACUGUGUUGCUUGAGUGAAGUAGAGGCAGGCGGAAUUCCCGGUGUAGCGGUGAAAUGCGUAGAGAUCGGGAGGAACACCAGUGGCGAAGGCGGCCUGCUGGGCUUUAACUGACGCUGAGGCACGAAAGCAUGGGUAGCAAAC